rnacentral:rRNA from 1 species
CACCGGCGGCUCGAGUGGUGGCCACUUUUAUGGGGUCUAAAGCGUCCGUAGCCGGCUUGGCAAGUCCCCUGGGAAAUCUGGCGGCUUAACCGUCAGGCGUCCAGAGGAUACUGCCAGGCUUGGGACCGGGAGAGGUGAGAGGUACCUCAGGGGUAGGGGUGAAAUCUUGUGAUCCCUGAGGGAACACCAGUGGCGAAGGCGGCUCUCUGGCCAGUUACUGACGCUCAUGCGCGAAAGCUGGGGGAGCGAACCGG